rnacentral:rRNA from 1 species
GAUGAACGCUGGCGGCGUGCCUAAUACAUGCAAGUCGAGCGAACGGACGAGAAGCUUGCUUCUCUGAUGUUAGCGGCGGACGGGUGAGUAACACGUGGAUAACCUACCUAUAAGACUGGGAUAACUUCGGGAAACCGUAGCUAAUACCGGAUAAUAUUUUGAACCGCAUGGUUCAAAAGUGAAAGACGGUCUUGCUGUCACUUAUAGAUGGAUCCGCGCUGCAUUAGCUAGUUGGUAAGGUAACGGCUUACCAAGGCAACGAUGCAUAGCCGACCUGAGAGGGUGAUCGGCCACACUGGAACUGAGACACGGUCCAGACUCCUACGGGAGGCAGCAGUAGGGAAUCUUCCGCAAUGGGCGAAAGCCUGACGGAGCAACGCCGCGUGAGUGAUGAAGGUCUUCGGAUCGUAAAACUCUGUUAUUAGGGAAGGACAUAUGUGUAAGUAACUGUGCACAUCUUGACGGUACCUAAUCAGAAAGCCACGGCUAACUACGUG